CCUCAUAUAGACAGACAGACACAGACAGAAAGACACAAAAACAGAAAGACACAGAGACAGACAGACCAGACACACACAGACAGACGGACGAUUUGUUUCUUCAUCUCCCUCCUUUUCU
rnacentral:ribozyme from 11 species